GAUACUGUCAGUGCUGCCUCUGAAGAAAACAAGAUGGCAAUAACCAAAAUACCAAACUCAAGAUCU